UACGUAGGGUGCAAGCGUUUGUCCGGAAUUAUUGGGCGUAAAGAGCUCGUAGGCGGUCUGUCGCGUCUGCUGUGAAAACCUAGGGCUUAACUCUGGGCGUGCAGUGGAUACGGGCAGGCUGGAGGCAGGCAGGGGAGAACGGAAUUCCCGGUGUAGCGGUGAAAUGCGCAGAUAUCGGGAGGAACACCGGUGGCGAAGGCGGGUCUCUGGGCCGUAACUGACGCUGAGGAGCGAAAGCAUGGGGAGCGAACAGG
rnacentral:rRNA from 1 species